ACAGAUCAAACUUCAAAAAGUCAAGAACUUUCAAAUGGAAGAACAACAGCAAGGAGAACAAGAACCAACAACACCAACUUCACCAACAUCAUCAUCAUCAUCGUCAUACAAGUGGUUUAUUAGAAUUAUGAGCAAAAGGAGAACAUGGGUAUGUCUCUUUGUUGUAGUAUAUGCAAUAUUGUUAUCAUCCUCAUGGAAUUUUCUUAAAUCGAUUCUUUCAUGGUACAACUUACAAUCUCAUCAAAAUCCAUCAUCUGGGUGGCCUGCGCUGUAUGCAUCGGUGCUAUUAGGGGCCGUCUUUGGACUGCUUUCUAUGGUUGCAGCUUUAGCUGUGGCUGUGCCUGCCACUUUGGUCAUAUGGAUCACUGUUCUUGUUCUGCUUGCUUUCUUUGGCAAGCCCAGGACAAGUUUGGUCAUUGAAGGGAG
rnacentral:lncRNA from 1 species